rnacentral:rRNA from 1 species
ACAACGGGUUAAUAUUCCCGUACUUGUGUAUACUGCGAUGGGGUGACGGAGUAGUGAAAGUCCUGCGUACAGACGGAAUUGUACGUUGAAGCCCGUAGAUAUAUCGACUGUAGGCAAAUCCGCAGUUGAUGUCGAAGGUGAUAGUACUCGGAGUCUUCGGAUGAUGAGAUAUGGACCUAAACAGACUUCCAAGAAAAACCUCUAAGCUUCAGGUAUACACAACUCGUACCGCAAACCGACACAGGUAGUCAAGGAGAGAAUCCUAAGGUGCUCGAGUGAUUCAUGGCUAAGGAACUAGGCAAAAUAGCCUCGUAACUUCGGGAGAAGAGGCGCCUCUGGCAACAGAGGCCGCAGUGAAAAGGCCCAGGCGACUGUUUAUCAAAAACACAGGACUCUGCGAAAUCGAAAGAUGAUGUAUAGGGUCUGACACCUGCCCGGUGCCGGAAGGUUAAGAGGAGAUGUUAUCUUCGGAGAAGCAUUGAAUUGAAGCCCCGGUAAACGGCGGCCGU